rnacentral:rRNA from 1 species
AAUGAACGCUGGCGGCACGCCUAACACAUGCAAGUCGAACGAAGGCUUCGGCCUUAGUGGCGCACGGGUGCGUAACGCGUGGGAAUCUGCCCUUGGGUUCGGAAUAACAGUUAGAAAUGACUGCUAAUACCGGAUGAUGUCGUAAGACCAAAGAUUUAUCGCCCAAGGAUGAGCCCGCGUAGGAUUAGCUAGUUGGCGGGGUAGAGGCCCACCAAGGCGACGAUCCUUAGCUGGUCUGAGAGGAUGAUCAGCCACACUGGGACUGAGACACGGCCCAGACUCCUACGGGAGGCAGCAGUGGGGAAUAUUGGACAAUGGGCGAAAGCCUGAUCCAGCAAUGCCGCGUGAGUGAUGAAGGCCUUAGGGUUGUAAAGCUCUUUUACCCGGGAUGAUAAUGACAGUACCGGGAGAAUAAGCUCCGGCUAACUCCGUGCCAGCCGCCGCCGUAA